AAAAUAAAUAAAUAAAUAAACCCACAAUAGAUCUUCUCAGAUCCACAUAAGAAUUUUCCAAAAGGGCAAAGAAAAGAAAGCCUCAUUUUGUGAAACGCAGCAAAAAGCAGAAAUAAAUGCACACACAUUGACCACUAUCAAGUGUUAAGGUGUUGCUGCCAUAUUUAACACAUCUAUUUAGCCUCCUCAGGACUUUCUUCAAAAUUCCCAAAACCCUGAUACCAAGUUUUUAUCAAAAGAAAUAAAUCACAUCACUUCCGGCAUCAUUCCAAUCAUAAAAUUAUUUCAAUAGGACUAGAAAAACUUAAAUAAUCUCGCCACAAUUAUUUAACUCCCUAAUUAAGCCAUUGUCACACCUAAUAAAAUAAACAUCAAUCAUCAUAAUUCAGUUUAAACCAACCUAGAUUCUUCAGUGGGAACCCAA
rnacentral:misc_RNA from 1 species